rnacentral:rRNA from 1 species
UACGAAGGGGGGCUAGCGUUGCUCGGAAUCACUGGGCGUAAAGCGCACGUAGGCGGCUUUCUAAGUCAGGGGUGAAAUCCUGGAGCUCAACUCCAGAACUGCCUUUGAUACUGGAGAGCUUGAGUCCGGGAGAGGUGAGUGGAACUCCGAGUGUAGAGGUGAAAUUCGUAGAUAUUGGGAAGAACACCGGUGGCGAGGGCGGCCAUCUGGACCGCAACUGACGCUGAGGCGCGAAAAGCGUGGGGAGCAAACAGGG